rnacentral:rRNA from 1 species
UACGGAGGGGCUAGCGUUGCUCGGAAUCACUGGGCGUAAAGCGCACGUAGGCGGCUUUCUAAGUCAGGGGUGAAAUCCUGGAGCUCAACUCCAGAACUGCCUUUGAUACUGGAGAGCUUGAGUCCGGAAGAGGUGAGUGGAACUCCGAGUGUAGAGGUGAAAUUCGUAGAUAUUCGCAAGAACACCAGUGGCGAAGGCGGCUCACUGGCCCGUAACUGACGCUGAGGCACGAAAGCGUGGGGAGCAAACGGG